CCUACGGGGUGCAGCAGUGGGGAAUAUUGGACAAUGGGCGAAAGCCUGAUCCAGCCAUGCCGCGUGUGUGAAGAAGGCCUUCGGGUUGUAAAGCACUUUCAGUGGGGAAGAAAGCCUUGGGGCUAAUACCCUCGAGGAAGGACAUCACCCACAGAAGAAGCACCGGCUAACUCCGUGCCAGCAGCCGCGGUAAUACGGAGGGUGCGAGCGUUAAUCGGAAUUACUGGGCGUAAAGCGCGCGUAGGCGGUCUGAUAAGCCGGUUGUGAAAGCCCCGGGCUCAACCUGGGAACGGCAUCCGGAACUGUCAGGCUAGAGUGCAGGAGAGGAAGGUAGAAUUCCCGGUGUAGCGGUGAAAUGCGUAGAGAUCGGGAGGAAUACCAGUGGCGAAGGCGGCCUUCUGGACUGACACUGACGCUGAGGUGCGAAAGCGUGGGUAGCAAACAGGAUUAGCUACCCUGGUAGUC
rnacentral:rRNA from 1 species